rnacentral:rRNA from 1 species
UACGGAGGGGGCAAGCGUUACUCGGAAUUAUUGGGCGUAAAGGGCGCGUAGGCGGUCGUGUGCGUCAGAGGUGAAAUCCCCGGGCUUAACCCGGGAGCUGCCUCUGAUACGGCAUGGCUUGAGUCCGGGAGAGGAGAGCAGAAUUCCCAGUGUAGCGGUGAAAUGCGUAGAUAUUGGGAGGAAUACCGGUGGCGAAGGCGGCUCUCUGGACCGGUACUGGACGCUAAAGCGCGAAAGCGUGGGUAGCAAACAGG